rnacentral:rRNA from 1 species
CUACGGGAGGCUGCAGUGAGGAAUAUUGCACAAUGGGGGGAACCCUGAUGCAGCAACGCCGCGUGGAGGAUGACGCAUUUUGGUGUGUAAACUCCUUUUAUAUGUCAAGAAAAUGACGGUAGCAUAUGAAUAAGCACCGGCUAACUCCGUGCCAGCAGCCGCGGUAAUACGGAGGGUGCAAGCGUUACUCGGAAUCACUGGGCGUAAAGGACGCGUAGGCGGGCUUGUAAGUCAGGUGUGAAAUCCUACAGCUUAACUGUAGAACUGCACUUGAAACUACGAGCCUAGAGUAUGGGAGGGGCAGAUGGAAUUAGUGGUGUAGGGGUAAAAUCCGUAGAUAUCACUAGGAAUACCUAAAGCGAAGGCGAUCUGCUGGAACAUAACUGACGCUAAGGCGUGAAAGCGUGGGGAGCAAACAGGAUUAGAUACCCCCGUAGUC